GGCGGCUGCCGCGUCUCUCUCGGCUCCCGCUUCCUUUGACCGCCUCCCCCCCCCGGCCCGGCGGCGCCCGCCUCCUCCACGGCCACUCCGCCUCUUCCCUCCCUUCGUCCCUUCUUCCUCUCCCUUUUUUCCUUCUUCCUUCCCCUCCUCGCCGCCACCGCCCAGGACCGCCGGCCGGGGGACGAGCUCGGAGCAGCAGCCAGAGUUUAUUAACCACUUAACCUCUCAGAACUGAACAAAGACAACAUUGUUCCUGGAACGCCCUCUUUUUAAAAAAGAAAGCAUAACCCCUACUGUAGAACUAAAUGCACUGUGCAUGAAACUUGGAAAAAAACCAAUGUAUAAGCCUGUUGACCCUUACUCUCGGAUGCAGUCCACCUAUAACUACAACAUGAGAGGAGGUGCUUAUCCCCCGAGGUACUUUUACCCAUUUCCAGUUCCACCUUUACUUUAUCAAGUGGAACUUUCUGUGGGAGGACAGCAAUUUAAUGGCAAAGGAAAGACAAGACAGGCUGCGAAACACGAUGCUGCUGCCAAAGCGUUGAGGAUCCUGCAGAAUGAGCCCCUGCCAGAGAGGCUGGAGGUGA
rnacentral:lncRNA from 1 species